AGGAUAAACGCUGGCGGCAUGCCUAACACAUGCAAGUCGAACGCCUGUAGCAAUACAGGAGUGGCGCACGGGUGAGUAACGCGUGGGAACCUACCCUGGAGUGGGGGAUAACCGAGAGAAAUUUCGGCUAAUACCGCAUACGACCUGAGGGUGAAAGAUUUAUCGCUCUAGGAGGGGCCCGCGUCGGAUUAGCUAGUUGGUGGGGUAACGGCCUACCAAGGCAACGAUCCGUAGCUGGUCUGAGAGGAUGAUCAGCCACACUGGGACUGAGACACGGCCCAGACUCCUACGGGAGGCAGCAGUGGGGAAUAUUGGACAAUGGGGGCAACCCUGAUCCAGCAAUGCCGCGUGAGUGAUGAAGGCCUUAGGGUUGUAAAGCUCUUUCGGCGGGGACGAUGAUGACGGUACCCGCAGAAGAAGCCCCGGCUAACUUCGUGCCAGCAGCCGC
rnacentral:rRNA from 1 species